GACGGAGAGGCAGCAGUUCCGGGACUUCCGGGAUCUGAACAAGGAUGGGCACCUGGAUGGGAGUGAGGAUGGGCGGCUGAGCAAAGCGGAAAUCCUGGGUAAUUGGAACAUGUUUGUGGGCAGUCAGGCCACCAACUAUGGCGAGGACCUGACCCGGCACCACGAUGAGCUGUGAGCACCGCGCACCUGCCACAGCCUCAGAGGCCCGCACAAUGACCGGAGGAGGGGCCGCUGUGGUCUGGCCCCCUCCCUGUCCAGGCCCCGCAGGAGGCAGAUGCAGUCCCAGGCAUCCUCCUGCCCCUGGGCUCUCAGGGACCCCCUGGGUCGGCUUCUGUCCCUGUCACACCCCCAACCCCAGGGAGGGGCUGUCAUAGUCCCAGAGGAUAAGCAAUACCUAUUUCUGACUGAGUCUCCCAGCCCAGACCCAGGGACCCUUGGCCCCAAGCUCAGCUCUAAGAACCGCCCCAACCCCUCCAGCUCCAAAUCUGAGCCUCCACCACAUAGACUGAAACUCCCCUGGCCCCAGCCCUCUCCUGCCUGGCCUGGCCUGGGACACCUCCUCUCUGCCAGGAGGCAAUAAAAGCCAGCGCCGGGA
rnacentral:lncRNA from 1 species